rnacentral:lncRNA from 1 species
AAACAAGGGGCUUUUGGUUCAGAGUCGAUGUUACAUCCUGUGUUUGUUUCUUUUAUUUCCUCGGUUUUCUUUUCUUAUUUCUUUUUCACCGACUGCCCUUUUCUGUGCUUCUUUCUUUUGAAUCUUUGAGUUGUCGAAUUUUUAUUUUUCUUUCUUUUUCUCGAUUCAUCAUUUUUUCUUUUUCUCUUGUUUUUGCACUUUCUUGGGCUUUGAGAGCUCUUGGGGUUUUUUACCCCAAACUUAGCUUUUCAACACAACUUUGAAUGCAUUAUCAUGACUCUGAACGGGGUGAGGAAGUGUUGUGGCCAAUGGUUACAUUUAUGGUGUUUAAAC